AGCGAACGCUGGCGGCAGGCUUAACACAUGCAAGUCGAACGGGCGUAGCAAUACGUCAGUGGCAGACGGGUGAGUAACGCGUGGGAACGUACCUUUUAGUUCGGAACAACCAAGGGAAACUUUGGCUAAUACCGGAUACGCCCUUACGGGGAAAGAUUUAUCGCUGAAAGAUCGGCCCGCGUCUGAUUAGCUUGUUGGUGAGGUAAUGGCUCACCAAGGCGACGAUCAGUAGCUGGUCUGAGAGGAUGAUCAGCCACAUUGGGACUGAGACACGGCCCAAACUCCUACGGGAGGCAGCAGUGGGGAAUAUUGGACAAUGGGCGAAAGCCUGAUCCAGCCAUGCCGCGUGAGUGAUGAAGGCCCUAGGGUUGUAAAGCUCUUUUGUGCGGGAAGAUAAUGAACGGUACCGCAAGAAUAAGCCCCGGCUAACUUCGUGCCAGCCGUCGCCGUAA
rnacentral:rRNA from 1 species